rnacentral:pre_miRNA from 14 species
UGUUGUUGUUGUUGUUGUUGUUGUUGUUGUUGUUGAUGUUGCUGUUGCCGUUGUAGACCAAUAGCAUCAAUAAUAACGACAACAACAGCAGCGGUA